ACAUGAAUAGUGGUAUUUGUAAUUGCCUGGACAAAUAUUCCGGUCGCAGAUGUCAGUCUUGUAGUCUGGGCCACUACCAAUCAGGAAAGGACUGCAUACCUUGUGCGUGUAGCAGUACACGUGCCCGUGGCAACCACUGUUACAUUACUACUGGACAGUGCAGAUGCAAACCUGGGUAUGGUGGAAGGCAAUGCUAUGGGUGUGCAAAGGGUUACUUCAUACCAGAUACUACACUGGCAAAGCCACCAUGUGUGGUAUUUGACCCCAACUCGGAUUGCCAAGAGUGCCAUUGUUCUCCGUUCGGAUCAACGGACAGCACCUGUGCUAAUGGAACAGGAAUUUGUCAAUGCAAGCCAGGGUACACUGGAGAGAAGUGUGACUCUUGCACCAGUGCUAGCCAGUUCCACUCUUCAACUAGCGGUUGCAAAACCCUGUUUCGUUUAAUUCCGUCGCCAACCAGUGCCUCAUUGGUCCAAGGGAAUGUAGUGAAUCUCAGACACCCCUUUGUGUUCGGUUCUAAGUUCACCUCAUAUAACCAA